rfam:Caenorhabditis japonica strain DF5081 Contig9606.1, whole genome shotgun sequence.
UGCCCUUUGUACACACCGCCCGUCGCUAUCCGGGACUGAACUGAUUCGAGAAGAGUGGGGACUGUGGCUGCGAGGUUUUACCACUUCGCAGUUGCGGAAACCAUUUUUAUCGCAUUGGUUUGAACCGGGUAAAAGUCGUAACAAGGUAGCUGUAGGUGAACCUGCAGCUGGAUCAUCG